CAUAUGUUUUGAAAACAUAAGAUAGAAAAUAAAUUUUCUAUUAACUU
rnacentral:tRNA from 1 species